UAUUUGUUCAUAUUCCAUCUUUUUUUUUCGAGAUCUAUUUUAUUUUUUUCUCUAUUUUCUGCCUCUCCGCUCUCUUACCCCCUCAAUGCAUUUGCAAUUUUUCAAAUUAGGUACUCCUUCCACCUACAUGGUUGGGGUUACAGUUUGGUUUGAUUCUCUAGCAGGAGGAAUUGUUGUUUGAUUUUGGUUUUAUUUUAUUAUAUUUCAUUAUGGUUCCAAUUUUGCUAAUGAGAAAUGGGUUUUGUUUUUCUUUUGGUGGGUUACUGUUCUUUUACUUCUCUUCGAGACCCAAAGAGAGAUAAGAUCACCGAGAUACAUGACAAUGAAAUGGAUGGGUUUUGUUUUUCUUUUGAGGCACCGACAAGUCGUUGGCCCGAGUCAAGACCACUCAUUUUGUGGCUGAAUGGAGGGACCGGGUGCUCAUCUAUGGCUUAUGGUGCGGCUGAAGAGAUGUGGCCAUUCCGUAUCCAUCCCGAAAGGAAGACCCUCUUCUUCAACCCCUAUGCUUGGAACAAUCCGGCGAAGAUGCUUUUCCUAGAAUCUCCAACGGUGGUCGGUUUCUCGUAUUCAAAUACUUUAUCUGACUUGUAUACCACCAGUGACCAGAGGACAGUUUCCGUUCUCCUUUUCAGAACUCUAAGAGCUGCUUGUGACUUUGGAUCCCCACAACACCCUCAUAUUGUUGUCUUCUCUGUCAUACUCUGAUAUUUUUGAGGGUCUUUAGAAGUAUUGACAAGCAUAAAUGUUGGUCACACCCUGAGACACUUGAAUUUGUUAUCCGAGUAUAAGAUGUGAAAAUUCUGUUCCCUCUGUGCCUCUAUUAACACUUUCUGAUAGGGCAUGACCUUUCAACCCCAUUGUUGUUUGGCCAUGCUUUACAUGUCUUUAUCAAUGGACAACUUUCAGAUUAAAGAUGGGGAGAGAUGCAAUUAAGGCUAAGGAUGCUGCGGAAUCCUUCUCAUAUUAUUUGGGAGUUCAGUUCUUGUUGAUGUGUUCAUACACUUUUCAGCCAAACAUGGAGAAAGAAAGUCCUUUAUUCUUGGAAACCCUCAAGAAAAAAAAAAUGUUGCCUUCAUCUUAUUUGUUCUCAUAGUACAAUAAAUGAGAACACCUAAUGUUGUUUCAUUUAUCUUUUGUUUUCCUUUUUACUUUACAUGUACUUCCCCAAAGAGGUAAUUUUUUGCUAUGUCUUGCUGUUUAGUGUCA